rnacentral:rRNA from 1 species
UCCAGAGAUGGAUUUGUGCCUUCGGGAACUGUGAGACAGGUGCUGCAUGGCUGUCGUCAGCUCGUGUUGUGAAAUGUUGGGUUAAGUCCCGCAACGAGCGCAACCCUUAUCCUUUGUUGCCAGCGGUCCGGCCGGGAACUCAAAGGAGACUGCCAGUGAUAAACUGGAGGAAGGUGGGGAUGACGUCAAGUCAUCAUGGCCCUUACGACCAGGGCUACACACGUGCUACAAUGGCGCAUACAAAGAGAAGCGACCU